UACCCGGUGGUGUAAUCGGUAGCACAAGAGACUUUGAAUCUCUUAGUCCAGGUUCAAGUCCUGGCCGGGUAACCA
rnacentral:tRNA from 1 species